rnacentral:rRNA from 5 species
UAAAGAAAGCGUAAUAGCUCACUGGUCGAGUCGGCCUGCGCGGAAGAUGUAACGGGGCUAAACCAUGCACCGAAGCUGCGGCAGCGACACUGUGUGUUGUUGGGUAGGGGAGCGUUCUGUAAGCCUGCGAAGGUGGCCUGUGAGGGUUGCUGGAGGUAUCAGAAGUGCGAAUGCUGACAUAAGUAACGAUAAAGCGGGUGAAAAGCCCGCUCGCCGGAAGAC